rnacentral:rRNA from 1 species
AUUGAACGCUGGCGGCAGGCCUAACACAUGCAAGUCGAACGAGUGGCGGACGGGUGAGUAAUGUCUGGGAAACUGCCCGCUGGAGGGGGAUAACUACUGGAAACGGUAGCUAAUACCGCAUACUAUCGGAUGUGCCCAGAUGGGAUUAGCUAGUAGGUGGGGUGACGGCUCACCUAGGCGACGAUCCCUAGCUGGUCUGAGAGGAUGACCAGCCACACUGGAACUGUGACACUUGCCAGACUCCCACGGGAGGCAGCAGGGGGGAAUUUUGCACAAUGGGCGCAAUCCUGAAGCAGCCGUCCCGCGUGUAUGAAGAAGGCCUUGGGGUUUUACAGUACUUUCAGCUAGGAGGCGGUACUCGCAGAAGAAGCACCGGCUAACUCCGUGCCAGCAGCCGCGGUAAUAC